UACGGGAGGCAGCAGUAGGGAAUCUUUCACAAUGGGCGAAAGCCUGAUGNAGCAACGCCGCGUGCAGGAAGAAGGUUUUCGGAUUGUAAACUUCUGUCCUAUGUGAAGAGAAGCAGACGGUAGCAUAGGAGGAAGCCCCGGCUAACUACGUGCCAGCAGCCGCGGUAAU
rnacentral:rRNA from 1 species